rnacentral:rRNA from 1 species
UACGGGGGGAGCAAGCGUUGUUCGGAAUUACUGGGCGUAAAGGGCUCGUAGGCGGCCAACUAAGUCAUACGUGAAAUCCCUCGGCUUAACCGGGGAACUGCGUCUGAUACUGGAUGGCUUGAGAUUGGGAGAGGGAUGCGGAAUUCCAGGUGUAGCGGUGAAAUGCGUAGAGAUCGGGAGGAACACCUGUGGCGAAGGCGGCCACCUGGGCCGACCCUGACGCUGAGGCGCGAAGGCGUGGGGAGCGAACGGG